rnacentral:sRNA from 1 species
GUCCGAGGUAGGGCGCCGGUUGUGAGC